AUUGAACGCUGGCGGCAGGCCUAACACAUGCAAGUCGAACGGUAACAGGAAGCAGCUUGCUGCUUUGCUGACGAGUGGCGGACGGGUGAGUAAUGUCUGGGAAACUGCUGAUGGAGGGGGAUAACUACUGGAAACGGUAGCUAAUACCGCAUAACGUCGCAAGACCAAAGAGGGGGACCUUCGGGCCUCUUGCCAUCGGAUGUGCCCAGAUGGGAUUAGCUAGUAGGUGGGGUAACGGCUCACCUAGGCGACGAUCCCUAGCUGGUCUGAGAGGAUGACCAGCCACACUGGAACUGAGACACGGUCCAGACUCCUACGGGAGGCAGCAGUGGGGAAUAUUGCACAAUGGGCGCAAGCCUGAUGCAGCCAUGCCGCGUGUAUGAAGAAGGCCUUCGGGUUGUAAAGUACUUUCAGCGGGGAGGAAGGGAGUAAAGUUAAUACCUUUGCUCAUUGACGUUACCCGCAGAAGAAGCACCGGCUAACUCCGUG
rnacentral:rRNA from 1 species